rnacentral:snRNA from 1 species
AUACUUACCUGGCAGGGGAGACACCAUGAUCAUGAAGGUGGUUUUCCCAGGGUGAGGCUCAUCCAUUGCACUGCGGGUGUGCUGACCCCUGCGAUUUCCCCAAAUGCGGGAAACUCGACUGCAUAAUUUGUGGUAGUGGGGGACUGCGUUCGCGCUCUCCCCUG